AUGAACGCUGGCGGCGUGCCUCAUACAUGCAAGUCGAGCGAACGGACGAGAAGCUUGCUUCUCUGAUGUUAGCGGCGGACGGGUGAGUAACACGUGGAUAACCUACCUAUAAGACUGGGAUAACUUCGGGAAACCGUAGCUAAUACCGGAUAAUAUUUUGAACCGCAUGGUUCAAAAGUGAAAGACGGUCUUGCUGUCACUUAUAGAUGGAUCCGCGCUGCAUUAGCUAGUUGGUAAGGUAACGGCUUACCAAGGCAACGAUGCAUAGCCGACCUGAGAGGGUGAUCGGCCACACUGGAACUGAGACACGGUCCAGACUCCUACGGGAGGCAGCAGUAGGGAAUCUUCCGCAAUGGGCGAAAGCCUGACGGAGCAACGCCGCGUGAGUGAUGAAGGUCUUCGGAUCGUAAAACUCUGUUAUUAGGGAAGAACAUAUGUGUAAGUAACUGUGCACAUCUUGACGGUACCUAAUCAGAAAGCCACGGCUAACUACGU
rnacentral:rRNA from 1 species